rnacentral:rRNA from 1 species
UACGUAGGGUGCAAGCGUUGUCCGGAAUUAUUGGGCGUAAAGAGCUCGUAGGCGGUUGAGUAAGUCGGGUGUGAAAACUCUGGGCUUAACCCAGAGCCGCCACCCGAUACUGCUCUGACUUGAGUUCGGUAGGGGAGCAGGGAAUUCCUAGUGUAGCGGUGAAAUGCGCAGAUAUUAGGAGGAACACCGGUGGCGAAGGCGCUGCUCUGGGCCGAUACUGACGCUGAGGAGCGAAAGCGUGGGUAGCAAACAGG